AGUCUAUGAUGUGCGCAGAGCCUUAACAUAUCCUUAUAUCUCUUCCAUCAUUCAAAAAGAGAUUCAUUGUCUUUUUGCCUAAAUCUGUUGAUCUGGCUUCUUAGCAU